CCUACGGGAGGCAGCAGUGGGGAAUAUUGCACAAUGGGGGAAACCCUGAUGCAGCGACGCCGCGUGAGUGAAGAAGUAAUUCGUUAUGUAAAGCUCUAUCAGCAGGGAAGAAAAUGACGGUACCUGAGUAAGAAGCCCCGGCUAACUACGUGCCAGCAGCCGCGGUAAUACGUAGGGGGCAAGCGUUAUCCGGAUUUACUGGGUGUAAAGGGAGCGUAGACGGCAGUGCAAGUCUGGAGUGAAAGGCGGGGGCUCAACCCCCGGACUGCUCUGGAAACUGUACGGCUGGAGUGCAGGAGAGGUAAGUGGAAUUCCUAGUGUAGCGGUGAAAUGCGUAGAUAUUAGGAGGAACACCAGUGGCGAAGGCGGCUUACUGGACUGUAACUGACGCUGAGGAGCGAAAGCGUGGGUAGCAAACAGGAUUAGAUACCCGGGUAGUC
rnacentral:rRNA from 1 species